rnacentral:lncRNA from 1 species
CUAGUCCACUCGGCUUACUUCUUUUCCGCGGUAUGGAUAUAGCUAUUGUUGACGCUGAGAGAGAGCAACUCUUUUCAGGGACCACCCCCCCCGACCCUUAUCGCACCUCUCGUAUGACCUCCUUAUGUGGGUUCCUUACCCUCUUCUUUCAGCUCCCAGCGCUACACACAUGUCGCCUACUCUCAGGAACCGGCUAGCCUUCAGACCAAGACCUUGCUUAUUCCACUUGGAGUAUCUUGGCCCACCGAUCCCAUGCCAUCGAAUGCGACCAUUCAACCGAACUAGGUCCGAUUGCGCCAUUAUAGCGGUGCUAAAAAGUUAUGAAAUCUUCGUCCAUUCUCUGGGUUAAUAUGGAUAGUCAUCUGGACCCCUUAUAAUUGGGCACCGCGGAGUGGGGACGCAUUCGAUAGCAUGCUCUCUGGCCGUAUGUAUUCGUUUUGCACGGUCGUGGGUAGUCGCUAGUUCGUCUUAGUAUGGGCCCAAACAUCCAUAUCUGAGUAUGCUAGCUGGUCACACAGGCAGUGCCUUCUUCUAUCUAACUGAACGGUAAACCGGGAGGGCGCUGCCCCUCCCUAACCCCUUUUUGGACACGAUGACAUAACCUCCCUUUUAAGUAAGCGGCCUAAGGCCUACCACUUACCUGAAAGGGCCGAAAGUUUGCCCCAGGCCCGAAGGUUGGAAUUGACCCCCCAGUCGCUUCAAAACCUGUACCUCCCUUGAUCUUCCUUUCUCAUGCCAUCCCCGGAUCCAGCGAGUGGGCCCAAAAGUUCAGACCCCUAGACUCCACCUUUUCGAUUAUCUCUGAGAUGGUCAGAGCCUCGGUGACACCCAUCCCAGUGGGACUCAAACUCCCUGAGACCGGCCUUCUUGGGUGGAUUCCUUAGAUGCCAUCCUCGGGUACUGCAAUGAGGAGUAUUGCUUCGGUACAAGUUUAGCGCGACAACUAAAUUGAGGGCAGUCGAAUGCUCAGUGCUUACUUACGAUAAUCGAGAAAUCGAGAAAAUCAAUGGGAUUUCUUUCUUUUGGGGAAAGCUCUUGAGUUCUGUAAGAGGAAACCGCCUCUAAGAAGCAGAAGAUUGUCUUUGUAUUGAGAGCAGCCCAAAAAGAAUUCGCAAAAUGGGCGUGUUUCCGCUCCGCUUUCCUACGCCUUUAUAUAAGGGGUCGGGACUCCUAAUCCUAGGCCUUGAUUCCAUUCCCCUUGGAGGAGAGGGAAAUAGGGACUAGAUCCCAGGGACAGGAUAAUCAGGACCUCCUUAUUCCUAAAAGGGCCGAAGCACGUAAUCGCCGGCCGAUUCGCCGACAAAGACAAAGAAAAGAAGAAUUUCAGUCCGAUUCUAAGACAAAGCAAGCGAUUCUUAGCCUUAAGAUCCUUCGGAUCGGUAUCGCCUUUGCCUUCUUUAUCUGGGAAAUUGCCCUUCUUAGUAUAGGGAUUAGUAUAGGGCCGGGGAAUGAGAAGACCCAGGGAAAGAGGAGAAUCUAGACCUCUAGAUACCUACAUCCGAGGGGCCGAGAGGGACUAAUAGUGGCUCGGUAUCGGCUUUGCCUUUUCCUUCUUUAUCCGGGAAAGGAGAAUAGGGUAUGCGGGUCCGAUACCCCUUAAGCCGAUAGGCACACUAAUCCGAUUCCUCUUCCUCUGACUCCCCCGAGGGGUUGGGGGGAAAGCCUUAAUUCCAUAUUCUUCCUCUUAGUCUUCCUUCCGGCCGGCCAAGGAAGCGAUUGGCCGAGAAAGAAGAAGAAGGAAAGAACCGAUUCUUAGCCCUUGACCGAGUGAGUUGUCCUCUUUCCUACGCCUUUAUAUAAGGGGUUGGGACUCGUAAUCAGCCUUCUUCUAUAUAUUCUUUGCGCCUUUCAUUCUUCCUCUAAAAAUGACAUAAUAUCUAAAGAGGAUCAUAUUCUUUUUUUAUGCCUCCUUCUGCAGAACCUACUAGUAAGAGGCCGACGGAGCGGUUAAAGGAAAAGGUUCGCCUAUCCCCUUGUUCAUUGAGGGACUCCUAAUUUUUAAUAGAAUGAAUGACUUGCACUCCUUUCUUCUUUUCCGCAAUAUUCUUUGCUCCGAUCAUGAAAAGAGCCGUCCGGAGGACCAUCAAAGAAAGGUCCAAGGUCCGGAGUCCGCAGUCCGCAGGAUUUAUCCGUAGUCCGGAGGACUUUCCGUAAUUAACCGAACUUUGCGCCUUAGUUAGUCUUAUUCGUGAAAGUAUUAUUCCGAAAAAAAGCUGUUAAAUAGCUUAAAUAAGCGGUUCAAUUCCCACUCCUAAAAUCAAAGCUCCAGAUGAGUUGACAAAGGUUCAAAGAAUGAUCGGAGUCUGCUGCUUUCUUUCAUAACUGAGCCGAGAAUGAGGCUGGCAUAGUUGUCUCUCGCAUGCAAGGACAUGCUGCUGCUGGAUGUCACGGUUCUGGGGCGCCAUGAUCCUUUUCUCUGGAACAAGAGAGGCGCAAAGAAUAUUGCGAGACAAAUGCCCAAAUAAAAUCAAAGAGGUAGGGACUUCAUCAAUCAUCGCUCAGUGAGCUAUUUAUUGCCGCCAAUAGCGCUUCGCUUGCACGCCAGCGCCACGCCUGGUAGAGCUAUCGCGCGCGGGCGAAGGAGAUGCAUUUUGAGUACUGGUAGUACUGGACAAGCUCAGAGGGAAUAAUCUCUUUCUUCUUUCUUCCUUUCUUUCCCAUGACGACUAGGAACAGGCAAAUAAAAAAUUUCACUUCGAAUUCCGGACCUCAACAUCCUGCUGCUCAUGGUGUUUCACGAUCAGUAUUGGAAAUGAACGGAGAAGUGGUGGAACGUGCGGAACCCCAUAUUGGAUUACUCCAGUGCGGCACGAAGCCGCUGACGCCGAGUCGGCUCCUAUGCCGCUAGCUAUGCCCUGCUUGGUCCCUCGACACGGUGGAGGUUCCGUAGCGCGUCAUGAGCACCGGGCUAAGGGGCGGUUUUUCUACUCAAGCGAACCGCCCUACCUUACUACAACAUAGGGACAGAAGGGAGAAGGUUGUGAAGGUGGCCUCGUUAUCCACACCUCUGGUCGGAUGAAUGGAGGACCUCCAAGAAAAAAGCCUAGGGUUUGAAUGAGCGUUGGCGGGUCCUGGAGUGCCUGUCAAGGGCUCCCUCGCAUACCCCGGGGUGAUCAUCACCACCUGCACCUCACAUCUCGGCACAGUGGAACGUGUAACCCGCCUGCUGUCUCAUUCAACUACAUUUGUUCGUUCCUAUAAUCCAUAGCCUAAGAUCAGGCAGCAGCGAGGGGCAACCUGCCCAUACAGCCAGCGGGGAGGAUGGCACUACUGGCAAAGACCGUCUGGCGAAAACGCCGCAGGCGCGAAGCGUGGUAGGCCUGCGCCGGGGGGGAGCAUAGCAUAGGCGGGAAAGGGAGCCCGGACGGUGGAAGAGCCAGGGGAGGCCGGGUCAUUUGACGGAAAUGGAAGGCUUUUCCCCUAUUUUCAAAGGCCUCAUUCAAGGUUAUGUCUGGUCGAAAGAUCUUUAUGGAAGUGCAUCAAUUCUUGGAAAAAGAGUGAAUGUCUAAUCUUUCUUUGGGUCCUCCGUUUUAGAGUCCUACGGAUAAAUCCUUCGGACCAGUUCUUCCCGCUAUUUAUGGAUGUUCAUUGUUCCUUAAUAGAAAGCCGAGCCUUUAAUUCUUUGCACCCGUCCUCCGUCCUUAGUCGUUCUUUAUAUCCAUAUUAGCUUAGCUUUCUGCGCCUGAGGACGUCCGAAGGACUCUAAAAAGGAGCGUUCUAAUGGAAUUCAUAUUCUGCAAUAUUCUUUGCGCCUAAUCUCAUUCAUUCAAUAUUCUUUUCACCUUCGGUAAACUUUAGCGGAAUCCUUGAGUCCUCCGGACGGACCGGACCACUAUUUCUCAAAUCUUUGAUCCUCUUGACUUGUCUUUCCUAUAAAAGAUAAGAAAGUCCAUUCAAUGAAUAGAUCUCUUUGAAAGGGUACGAGAGAGAGCGCUGCCUACACGCGAAUUAGCUUCCGAGGUCAAGCAGUCUCAAUAUUGAACUACAGGAUUGAUUUGCGAAUUCAUGCUGGGCUGGGCCACCUCGAAUGGCGUGAGCCGCAUGCGGGGAGACCCGCACGUACGGUUUUUAGGGGGAUCUGGUCGAAAGACCGGCGCCCACCCGACUAGAGGGACUGAGAAAUUAAUAGAGUACAAAACUUAUCUUCAAGCUUUACCUUAUUCUGAUCGUUCAGAGGGCGAUCGCGGAGUCACUGAAUGAAGUCCUCCCUUUCUUUCGGAGGUGCUGACCCGCAGCGAGGCAGAGAUGACUAAGUUACAUAUUCCAUAUGGCGACGACAACAGCAUGUCGUAGAAGGAGAUAAGAGGUGGAGCCAACGACCCACUAAGACUAACGUAUCUACAACUACAUCCCGAGCGGCAGUCAAACGGAGGCGUGAAUGCAAGAUGCCAGCGGAAUGAUCGGUCGGACAGAGGCUAGGGCUGCUUUCUUCCCACGCGUCCUUCCUUGUGUGUCGGAGAUAUAAAGCGAGUGCACCGGAAAAGAAGGGGAACUGGGUUGAUCUAUUCUAUGGCGAAGCAUCCGAAGCAUAACUGCACACUCACACGAUCUUUGCCGAGAGAUAGGAGCAUUCGGUGGAACCGGUGAACUACACUUGCUUCUGGAUAGAUGUGUGGGACAGAGGGCUCGUGGUACCUGCAGCCCACCCUUCCUCCUCUGCUUUGAGAACCGUAUGAACGGAGAGUGGGCAGAAGGGAAAGAGGUCCUCAUACGGAGUCGCACACUGACUUUUUCUGUGCGGGAGACUGGAGAAUGGGUCGAGUAAACUCCCCCGGGGCCGGCCGGCAAAAUCACAGACUCAGUGCUAUUUCUUUUUUCUUUAUUGAAUUUCAAAGGAGGUGCAAAGAAUAUUGCGAGGCAGAGGUAGUACUUCGAAUGGCGAAGAGAGGCGGCUCGGCAAAGAAGGAAUGGGAAAGAUUCUGACUUCUUUGUUGGCGAAACGAAGGGCUAAAUUGCGCCAUUCUCUGAGCCGGUCUGGAUUUCCAAUGCCUCGGAAAGAGGUCGAUCUCGAUGACAAGACCUUUUUCUUCUUUAUUGGGUGCCUUCUUUUAGAAGUAGUCGGAAAGAGAAAGCCUAAAGAAGGAAUUGCAUGAAUGAUCGAGGAUUCAAGUUCCAUAAAUCAGUCCAAGGCUCAAAGAGGUUAAUAUGGAAGGUGAAAAGUGGUUUUCAAAGUCAUAGCUAUCCCUUAUUAUUGAGGGCUUUGACCACCUGGACACUCGCCUACUCAGUCGCAAGGAUCAAAGAAUUUGAUUGACAAAGAAUAUUGCGAUUUUACAGACUCAAGAGGAUCAUAGAAUUUGAGAAAUAGGCAGUCAUAAAGGCUCAGUUAAGCUUGAUAAAGGACUCCUUCGCCCAUCCAUAAACAUAAAUAAAUAGAGAGAGGCUCAAAGAAUUUGAGAAAGCCUACCAUAAAUCAGUUCGACUAUCCUGGGAAGUCGCGCUUUGCUUACCGGCUCAGGCUUCCAAAGGCGACCAGCUUGAAAUACCUUUUCUUACGUUACGCUGCCAUUGAUUUUUCCAAUCUCAUUGAAUAGCAUGGCCUGGGGUAACUUAAGUGGGAGAGCCGUGUUAUGGGUGACCUUAUUGCACGGUUCAGAGAGCACUUGUGUAUGUGAUGCAAGUGAACGUGUACGAAAAAGCUGUAGGAAAGUGAGUUCUUCGUUCCGUCGUCGACCCUAUCUAUGUUUCUACGAUGGCCCAAGAACACGCUCAUUCUUCAGCUGUAGAGAGACUUUUGAAUUGCGAGGUACCAUUACGAGCUCAAUAUAUACGAGUCUUAUUCCGUGAAAUCACUCGAAUUUCAAAUCAUUCACUUGCUUUAACUACUCAUGCUAUGGAUGUGGGAGCAUCAACUCCGUUCCUGUGGGCUUUUGAGGAGCGGGAGAAAUUAUUUGAAUUCUAUGAAAGAGUCUCGGGAGCCAGGAUGCAUGCCAGUUUCAUACGACCAGGUGGAGUGGCACAAGAUCUGCCUCUUGGCUUAUGUCGAGAUAUUGAUUCCUUCACACAACAAUUUGCUUCUCGUAUCGACGAAUUAGAAGAGAUGUCAAUCGGCAACCGUAUCUGGAAACAACGAUUAGUGGAUAUUGGUACUGUCACUGCACAGCAAGCAAAGGAUUGGGGAUUCAGUGGUGUAAUGUUAAGAGGUCGUGCGACAUGAAGACAUUGAUAGCAAUAUGGGGAAGUUCCCAUCAGGCAACAAGGGUUCUGCCUGACCCUACUUAAGCAUGCAUAUUAUGUCAGUGAAGACUUGGUGUGAAGCCUUGGAGCUUACGUUAGAAGAGCAAAAGGCCCGGGGCUAGGGUAAGCUGAGGGGGACAGCGUAAGUGAGCGAAUGUGUGUAAGCCCAGUCAAAGAUGACUGUUCUAGGCGGGGCGGGCCACCCACCUGAGAAUGGUCUUGGUCCUACGGACCGUGAACGGAUUCGCCUCUGGCCUCUGGGUACGUCUCCACCGCAUAAGUUCACCGGGGUGGAGCACGGUCCGCCAAAAUCGGCAUAGGUUAGGUGCUAUUGAUGGAACAUGGUAAGCCUAUCUUUCUCCAUAUGGAAGUGCUGCGGGCACAUAGAGAUGUGGGUAGAGGAAGCCUCAAAAAGCGAAGGCCGAGCUGUAGGUCACGUGACCUGCACCGAGUUGGUGGCUGACUGGGCUUUUUCCUAGAUCAAAGCGGAGAAGCGAGCCUAUCCAAAAGUCGAUCCCAAAAACUUUAGGGUUCUUCUCGUGUAAUGGGCUUGCUUUGCGCAACUGCGCCCCACUUUAGGAAUUUGGUGUCCAUUUAAAGUCUAAUCUUUCACUCAAAUUUCAUUCAGCCUCAUCCAUUCAAUAUUCUUUUCACCUUCGGACUGUCCGAAGGACAGACGGGUCCUCCGGACAUGUGACGCCUUCGCACCUGGAAGUCGCUUCGCUUCGCGCCUCCUACAAUAUCCCUGUCUUAUGGAGCCGGAGGACGGACCAAAAAAUAGGCGAAGCGAGACAGAAAGAAAGCAUAGGAGGAAGAGCCAUAGGCGCAGCGCUUGUGAUUAGAAUCCCAGUCAAAAGAGAAAUCAGCCUUUUGCCUUGGGAAAGAGAGAACUAAUGAGAAUGAAACUGGAAGUCUGACUCACACUUGAGAAAUUCAUGUGUCUCGCAAAUGAGAGAGGAUGUAGUAGGUCCAUGAAUGAAUUGCCUUUUCUCCUAGGCUUUCCUUUCCAAUCCCUAUUUUUUUCUUUAUGAAUGAAAAAAGAAAGGCUGAAUGAAAUUUGAGUUUGCGCCUUCUGACUUUAUCAAGCUUAACACAUCUACAUUGAAUUAUAAGGCGCAAAGAAUAUUGCGAAGCGAAGAACAAAAAUCAGGCUCAAUGCAAGAAAGCAAAGAACUAAAAAGAAAGGUCCAGAUGCGUCACAGGUCCUCCGGACUGCGACUGAGGCGCAAUGAAAUAUGCGUUCAGGAUCAAUUCAAAGUUCAGCGGGAAGAACUGGUCCGAAGGACUAUCCAGAUUAACCCAAAGAAAGAUUGACCUAGAAAGAGAGGACCGUAGGAGGCUCAAAGAAUGAUCGGAGUAGGUGCAAAGGAUACUGCGAAGGGGCAAAGAGCUCAGAAUUUUCUCUUUUUAUCCACCCCAUAAAUCAAGUCCAAAAAAUAGGCGUCCUUCGGACUAGUUCUUUUAGCAUCAAAAUUCAAUUCUCCCAACAUCGUUCGUCUUCAUGUCUUUCUGGGAGUCGAGGGCUCUUCACUUUCAUUCAGGUCUUUCCUUAUUCCCUUUUUGAAUGCAUGAGACAUGAAAAGAAAGAAAGCCUCAAGCAGAACCACAUUCCUUUUGCGUGCGGAUGUAGCUAAGUGUCUGACCCUUGUUUGUGAUUCCCUGCUGUUGCGGCCUAUCCUAGAAUGCGCGUGAACCAACCCAAGAAAGAAGGAAAGGAUGCCUCUCGGGGCAUCUGAGAAUGAUUAGAGCUGUAUGAAGGGAAACUCUCACGUACAGUUUCUUUUUUUUGGGGGGGGAAGGAGCCCGACAGGGUCCCCCACUGACUUGGCCCGGGCCUAAGUGAAAGUGAAGUGGUGGGCCUACCCAUCCCAACCAGGGGUAUGCUGGGAUUUGCGAAGAGCAGCACCUUACGAUGUUCAUGACCAAUUGGAUCCUGACGUACCAGUAGGUACCAGAGGAGAUCGCUAUGAUCGUUACUGUAUCCGUAUCGAGGAGAUGCGACAAAGUGUUCGAUCAUUGUGCAAUGUCCUAAUCAAAUGCCUAGUGGGAUGAUCAAAGCCGAUGAUCGUAAGCUAUGUCCUCCAUCACGAUCUCGAAUGAAACUAUCCAUGGAAUCGUGUGCCGUGUGAAACGUAGAUCAUCGCCGUUCUUAACCGAGACUCAGGUUAAGCUCCGUCUCGGAACCUUGUGGGGUUAGGAGUAAAGCAUCCCGAGGUUGACGCAUCUCGUUGGGCGUGGAGAAACGAACCAAAAUAGCUUUCUUCGGAGCCGUUUCUUCUCCCGUCCCCCCGCCCGGCAUAGCGCUUCGCUUUCGGUGAUUCUUCCGAAUCAACUGACUUCUCCCUUCUUCAUUGAUCUGGGGGAAAAGGAACCGUCUACCUGUUGGGAAGCUAGACAUUCAGUAAGUGGCUUGAUGAGGAUAACUAAGCUGACACGCCGGAGUUGGCUGCUGGCACAACUGGGUGGUGCCUUACCGCACCGCAGGUUCACGCGCGGUAGCGCGUUCGUGGUGGUGCUUCAGGAUUCCAGUGUACUGCAUCCAAGAUCAGAACGAGCUUGCCGGCGGACCAUUGCCGUCCCAUUCUUGAGUGAGCUGGAGCGCAGCCAUCUUAUCCACUGAACUAGCGUUAAGCUAUUGCUUCGGGUCGAAGCACUAAAAGAAAAGGACCAGGAAAGGCGGCGGUAUAGGAACCACGGGACCCCCCCACUAGUCUAGUAAAGGGAAAAGAGAAGUGCGCUCCUCUCCUGUAAGUAAAGCAGCUUCGCACCUCUCAAGAAAUAAGAAGAGCAGCUAAAAGGAAGGAAAGAUCGAAUUCAGAGAUCAUUCAACUCUCUUUCAUACUCUCUCUCUUGUUCCGCUACGUGGGCUUCCUCUUUCUUGGUCGAGCUGCUGUCAAUAUUCUUUUCACCUGCGCACCUGCUUCAAAAGCCCUUUACCCUUUGAAUAAUAAGGUCAGCUUCAUAGUUCCAACCUAGAUAAGGCUUUUUUAUGCCCUUUUUUUAGGUUGGGUUGCUGGAUACGGGAUCCUCGUAGUAGGCUGGACCAAGAUCCAGCCGAGAGAGGGCAGCCUUUAGAAGGAAGAGGUUGGGAAAGCAAGAGAAGGCUGAGCCUUUUCUUAUCUUUUUCCCUAGGCUCGCCCCUCUCCCUAUGGUCGAGUCUCUUCGCCCCUCUCCUUACAGUCUCAAUCAAAUUCUUUGACCCUCUCCUUACAGAAAAAAAAGAGUGAUUUGGAUUAUUGACCCAAUGAGAAAGCACUAACAUCUUCCUCGUUGGGGCUUCGCGCACUGGGAAGACGCUAAGGCGACGGGAAAUCGGCCGUCAGUCUGAGGAAGCCCACGGAGCGGUAUCGAGAGGGCUAUCACAGUCAGGUGGAAAUUACCCCCGUACCCCUCUUUCAUUAUUAUGUUAGGGGGUUGAGGCGAGAAAUGGCUUGAUUCACCCUUCCGUUCGCCACGCACCGGCCCCAUUCACUUGCUUAUCGUAGAGGGACUUGCUGUUGCUGUUGAAGUAUACAGUGCCCUGCUGUUGCUGCUAUUGACGGACUUGCUUUGGGUGGAGGGUUAGAGGUCGCUAUGGUAUGUCUUAGAACUUCUUGUAGACAAUUAAAUCUUUAAAAUCAUUGUUUAAAAAUAUUUUAUAUUAUUUUGGUUUGUAGGCAUGCCAUGCACGAUUAUCAACCAAAACUGCACAGUUAGGAUUACCUGAACUUCAGCUUGGUUUAAUUCCAGGUUUUGGAGGUAUGUCUAUGGCGCUGAUACUUGGUGGUAUUUUUCUUAUUUUUAUUUGUACCAGUUAAUCCUGUGAGCCGCUUUUAUGUCUCUUUCUGGCCGUUUUUAUGUCUCUUUCUGUUGACUUUAUUAUUCUCUCAUUUAUGAUUUAACAUCUCAUAUGAAUUAUUAUGUGUAUCUUGCAUGGGAUAUUUUGCCACUUUGUGCCCAUAAAAAUCAACACUUGUCUUUCGGUGUAUAGGUCAUAAGUGGUCACUUUGGGUGGUAAGGACCGUUGCAUUUGAUCCAAGUAACAUGUGGUUUUGUACUGAUUCAGCAGAUUGUACAAUCAAGGUACUUAUUUUUAAAAUUAUUCAAUAUGAAUGAAUUCCAUUUUGGUCUGUCGAAGCGGGCCAUAUAUAGGUUCCAUCGUUUUUGCCCUUUGAUAACAAUCGUUAUCUUUGAGUUUUCUGCUCCUGAAAAUUGAAGUAUCAUUUAUUUAUGAUAAUUGUAGGAGCAUGUUUCUUCUUCCUAGAAUAGCGUGACACGAAAUAAAUGAUAGUAUGGUUGAUACGAGAUUUUUCUUCUAGGGCUAGUACAAUCCAUGAACUCUCUGGGCAUGAUAACACCGUUUGCUCAUUUUAAUGGACCAACCGUAUCCUUUUCUCCCUCUGAUCUUUCCUUCCGAUAUCUUGGUCAUAUUAGUUUCUUUCAAUAAAUUUUUUACUCGUGUGGUGUAGUUCUUUUAGAUAAUUUCCCUUUGAUUCUACAUAAGAACCUAUUUUCGUGCUUUUGUAAUUAUCAACUUUGUAUCAUUUCCUUUAGACUGGAGCAGUACAUCAGAUAAUCAAAAUAAUUGAUAUUCCAAUAUUGUGUAUCUUUUGUGCUCAGUUCUCAGCAGAAGACUUAUCAAUACAAUGUCUGUCAAUGAAGAGGGUGUUAUGGUGAUUGGAGGUGCUUUUUUAUUGUUGUGAUCGUGACUAAACUUGGAUGGAAAUGGUUGUUGGAUAAACUAAGCUCAGCCUCCCCUCUACUUUCUUUUUUCUUGAAACAUAUAUAUCGAGCAUUACACGUGGCUUUAAAUGUGUUUUACGUAAAUUUUUAUAAAAUUUUAAACUGUGAAUUACUUUUAACGUAAAGUCUUGAUUCAACUUUCAUCCACUCUAAUUAGUAAAUAUUUGACAUGAAAUUAAGUAAUUUAAAUAGUGGCAAAGUUAAUUUUAAUGAAUAUGAGAUAUCGUUGAUACGAAUUAUGGUUCGAAAUUUUUGACACAAUUUUGGAGUUUUCUUUGAAUGAAUACCUAUUUUCUUUGAAUGAAUACCCAUAAAAAUUUUUGACACAAUUUUGGACUGCAAGGUGGAAAAGGUGGGUUUACAUUUCUCUGUGUCCCAUUGUCAUUGUCUCAUAAUUUAGUCUAGACACUUUUGUUGACAUCUUUUAAAUGAUCUUUUAGCUUAGGAACCACGGCCUGGCUACAUUUCCAUUGAUGUAAUCACUGAUAUUUUUGAAGGUACAUUUCAGCUCAAUUUCUUUAAUUCUUACUCUCAUCUUCCAACUCUCUUGAAAAGCGAGUGAAAAGGAUAGUUUUGGGAAAGUAAUUAAUUGUUAGUUAUGUCGUCCAGCUGCUAGAAAGCCUGCUGUUGCUGCUAUUGACGGACUUGCUUUGGGUGGAGGGUUAGAGGUCGCUAUGGUAUGUCUUAGAACUUCUUGUAGACAAUUAAAUCUUUAAAAUCAUUGUUUAAAAAUAUUUUAUAUUAUUUUGGUUUGUAGGCAUGCCAUGCACGAUUAUCAACCAAAACUGCACAGUUAGGAUUACCUGAACUUCAGCUUGGUUUAAUUCCAGGUUUUGGAGGUAUGUCUAUGGCGCUGAUACUUGGUGGUAUUUUUCUUAUUUUUAUUUGUACCAGUUAAUCCUGUGAGCCGCUGUAAUGAUAUGCACCCAACUGAACUUUACUUUAAGCUGUGGGCAGUUGUGAUCUCACCAAUCUACUUAAGCUCUUAACAUUGGAAAUAAUUGAUUAAGUUAUUAACAAAUAACAGUUUAUGUUAUCAGUUGGAUCCCUCGUGGAUUGAUAUUUGGAUCUUGGGCCUUUGAUAGGAUAGCAUACGAUGUAAUUCCUUAUUUUUAGAGGAUGGAUAAUAUAGAUUUUUUAGCAAUAACCUAGUAUUUGAAUUGGCUGAAAUGAAUUUGUCUAUUAUAUAAUGAAAACAACAGAAACCCACUGUUUUGAAAACUUCUAAGAUUUUUCUUUUGGUGUUCUAAUCUCAAGCUUCUUUUUUGUUCAGGAACACAGCGACUUCCUCGUCUGGUUGGUCUUCCAAAGGCUUUAGAAAUGAUGCUGGUGAGAUUAGUAGCUCUUGCUUUUGAUUUUUGACACCUUGCUGUAGAAUAGCUUCAAUGGUCAUUCAUAUCUUUUGCUUAUUUCUGUACCUGUCUCUCUCAACUUAUCCAAACUUGCUACACUUGAACAGACAUCCAAGCCAGUCAAAGGAGAAGAAGCCUUUUCACUGGGACUCGUGGACGCCAUAGUCCCUCGUGAAGAGUUGAUCAGUGCUGCUCGCAAAUGGGCUCUGGAUAUCUCAGAGAGGAGAAAACCAUGGAUUAUCAGUCUUCACAAGACCAACAAGUUAGAGUCUCUUGCUGAUGCUAGGGAAAUAUUUAAAUUUGCCAGGGCUCAAGUACGGAAACAGGCUCCAAAUCUCAAGCACCCACUGGUUUGCAUUGAUGUUGUUGAAACGGGUGUAGUCUCAGGUCCCCGUGCUGGACUUCAGAAGGUUGUAUUUCUAAGGCAGCUAUUUUUUCUCAAGUAAAAGAAAGAUCCAAGCAUGAAAUAACCUUCCUGAAUUUCUUUUUUAUGCUUAUGGCAGGAGAUUGAAGAUUUUCAAGUACUACUGCAUGCUGAUACCAGUAAAAGCUUGAUUCAUGUUUUUUUUGCUCAGCGUGGAACAACAAAGGUGUGCGAUGAAGAUUUACUGAAAAAUAAAUGAUCGCUUAAAAUAAUCUUUAUUUCAGAACCUGAAGUUCAGGAUAUAGAAAAAACAACAUCCACUGUUAAUACAUUACGAGGUUAGUCUUUUCUCUUAUGUUGAUAUUUCUUCUUUUUUUUUCAAAAUAUGACAGGUACCUGGAGUUUCUGAUCUUGGGUUGACACCGAGACGUAUUAAUAAAGUUGCUGUUAUUGGUGGGGGAUUAAUGGGAUCUGGGAUAGCUACAGCAUUGAUUCUUAGCAACUAUCCUGUGAUUCUUAAAGAAGUAAAUGAAAAAUUUUUGGAGGCCGGGCUUGGCAGAGUCAAAGGUAAGCCUGGAAUUUACUACUGUUGAUUGUAUUCUUGUUAUAUUCUAUCUGGCUUGUGUUUGACCUGUCAUUGUAAACAUGUUAGCCAAUCUACAAAGCCGAGUCCGCAAGGGGACAAUGACUCCAGAAAAAUUUGAAAGAACCAUUUCCCUACUCAAGGGUGUCCUUGAUUAUGAAAGUUUCAAAGAUGUGGAUAUGGUGAUUGAGGUAAGUCCCACAUCUUACUUCACCCACAAAAAGUAGCAAUCGUUGAUAUCAAUUUGGUAUGCUUGUAACAGGCUGUUAUUGAGAACAUCUCCCUGAAGCAACAGAUCAUCGUUAGCCACUUAGCCAUUGAGUUUAUGCUUCUAAUGCAGUCCAGCACACGUCAUGCCACCAUACCCAUAGGCCAUAACCCCAAAACUUAAAUAAUUUAAUUUCAAAUAUUGAAUGCGUGGUUUGAACUACUUUGUAAGUGUUUUUAAACAUGUUGAAACUCAUUUCUUUGACAUUUUAUACAUAUUCUUUAACUAUUGGUUAGUUGUUCUCAAAGACUACAAGAACCAAAUGGACAGUCGAUUAGCAACUUUAGAAAGAGCUCCUCUAUAACAUUCAAAAGUAUGAAUCAACCCACGAAAAGUCAACGGCUGUUGAGGCAGUCGACAAGAUGCAAAAGUCAAUUAUCAGAAAAUGAGCUGUCAGGUUAUUUUCUAUUGUUUUUCUCCAUCUUCUCCUCUGAAAUGUCACUAACGCAUUUCAUAGAUGUCAAACUCCUCUCUUGCUCACCAUUGAAUGGCCAUUACCAACACCUCACAAAUUUCUUGUGAGAUUUCAGUUUUCAGAACGAAUCAAGAUCCUCAUCUUGGAAGCCGCCAAUCUCCUUUUAUCAGGCACGCUCUCAUUUUCCCUCCUUUUUCAUCUAUCGUUUAUAUAUACAUUGUUAACAAUGAUGAUGAUGAUGAUGAUGAUGUUUACUCUGGCUUACGGUUGCGAAAUUUGAUUGUGGAAUUCUCUUUUUCAGACAGAGGGCCAAAUUGCUUCAGCCGUAGGAUUUUCCCUCCUGGUAAGGGCCUUGAUUCUGAUUAUUGGUCCUAGUCCACUCGGCUUACUUCUUUUCCGCGGUAUGGAUAUAGCUAUUGUUGACGCUGAGAGAGAGCAACUCUUUUCAGGGACCACCCCCCCCCGACCCUUAUCGCACCUCUCGUAUGACCUCCUUAUGUGGGUUCCUUACCCUCUUCUUUCAGCUCCCAGCGCUACGCACAUGUCGCCUACUCUCAGGAACCGGCUAGCCUUCAGACCAAGACCUUGCUUAUUCCACUUGGAGUAUCUUGGCCCACCGAUCCCAUGCCAUCGAAUGCGACCAUUCAACCGAACUAGGUCCGAUUGCGCCAUUAUAGCGGUGCUAAAAAGUUAUGAAAUCUUCGUCCAUUCUCUGGGUUAAUAUGGAUAGUCA